GAGGAGCCCGCGCCCGAUUAGCUAGUCGGUAGGGUAAUGGCCUAUCAAGGCUUUGAUCGGUAGCUGGUCUGAGAGGAUGGCCAGCCACACUGGAACUGAGACACGGUCCAGACUCCUACGGGAGGCAGCAGUGGGGAAUCUUGCACAAUGGGCGAAAGCCUGAUGCAGCGACGCCGCGUGGGGGAUGAGGCAUCUCGGUGUGUAAACCCCUUUCGAUCCGGACGAAUGCCUCGCAAGAGGAGUGACGGUACGGAUAUAAGAAGCCCCGGCUAACUACGUGCCAGCAGCCGCGGUAAGACGUAGGGGGCCAGCGUUGUUCGGAAUUACUGGGUGUAAAGGGUUCGUAGGCGGUGUGGCAAGUUGGGAGUGAAAUCUCUGGGCUCAACCCAGAGGCUGCUUCCAAAACUGCUGUGCUUGAGUGUGAGAGAGGCGCGUGGAAUUGCAGGUGUAGCGGUGAAAUGCGUAGAUAUCUGCAGG
rnacentral:rRNA from 1 species